ACGUAGGUACCGAGCGUUAUCCGGAUUUACUGGGCGUAAAGCGUGUUCAGGCGGUCUAGCAAGUCGGGCAUGAAAUCUCUGGGCUCAACCCGGAGGGGUUGUCCGAAACUGCUGGGCUUGAGGGCAGCAGAGGGUGGUGGAAUUCCGGGUGUAGUGGUGAAAUGCGUAGAUAUCCGGAGGAACACCAGUGGCGAAGGCGGCCACCUGGGCUGUACCUGACGCUCAAACACGAAAGCUAGGGGAGCGAACGGGAUUAGAAACCCCGGUAGUCCUAGCCGUAAACGAUGUUGACUAGGUGUCGACGGUCUAAACCCCGCCGGUGCCGGAGCUAACGCACGAAGUCAACCGCCUGGGGACUACGGCCGCAAGGUUA
rnacentral:rRNA from 1 species